UACGUAGGGUGCGAGCGUUAAUCGGAAUUACUGGGCGUAAAGCGUGCGCAGGCGGUUUUGUAAGCCAGAUGUGAAAUCCCCGGGCUUAACCUGGGAAUGGCAUUUGGGACUGCAAGGCUUGAGUGCGGCAGAGGAGACUGGAAUUCCUGGUGUAGCAGUGAAAUGCGUAGAUAUCAGGAGGAACACCGAUGGCGAAGGCAGGUCUCUGGGACGGUACUGACGCUGAGACGCGAAAGCGUGGGGAGCGAACAGG
rnacentral:rRNA from 1 species